AAAUAUUAAUUAGAGUUGAUUAUUGGAGACUAAUUGAAAAUAAGUGAACAAGUAUAAGGGAUAAUUAAAGAACUCAAGAAUAAGUUAACUAUGACCAUUUGAGAGAAAGAGAACCCUUUACCAAGUGGGACCCAUUACUCCAUAUGAUAAUUAAGCCAAUACUAAACAUUUCCCUCAUUUGUGAAGAAUCAGAACAACAUCUUGUUUCAUUUCUUUCUCUCCCUCGUUCUUCAACCUCACGCCCCUCCUCCAUAACCCAUGUUUCAUUCUUCUAACCAAAAGGUUGCAUGUACUCUUUUCUAGUUAACUCUUAGUCAUUGAGCUAUAACAAAGGAUUUGAGACUCCAAAUCAUUCAUUCUUUCUCUAUUACGGGAAAUUAAUCCCAAAUCCAUCUCCACAAGAUCUUCAAAACCCUUUCCAUUAAAUUGAAGAAAAUCAGAGGUGUUUAUGGUGUUGAUUGCAUGUGCAAAUUCUGGAACAAAUUCUCAAUCAGCAGCAUGAUAAAGGAAGAAUAAGUAAUAGAGUUAAUUCUUCAAAUUCCUUAUUCUCACAAGUCCAUUCUAGGUGGUGUUAAAGAUGAUUUAUAGGAUUUAAUUAGUUCCAUUUUGGUACUUGCAUGUAAGAUUCCAAGGAGAGAAGAUCAUGGGUAUUUGAGUAGAAGUAGUUGAGAGAUCAAAGAUUAAGGAAGCUAAAAACUUGCAGAAGUUGGAAAGGACUUGGGAUUUAAGAAAUUAUUAUGGAAAAGUGAUUUAGCAACCUUAAUGAACUAUUGUUGUUGCUGUACUGUGGUCUGAUGUUGUUGUUAAAACUGAUUGGUAUGAUUAGAAUGGUUAUGGCUUAAUUCUAUGGAAUUUUAGUGAAAAAUUCGUAUGACAGUACAGGUACUAAUCGAGUCAUAGCUGUUGCUGUGUAGCCCAGACUUGUGUAAUUGUUGGAUUUUCGGAUUCUACACUUAAUUCCCUUCAGUUUGGAUAUACGUUUGAUAUGUUUUGGAUUAGAAAUGGAUUCGGAAAACGCGUUUGAAGUUUGAAUAUUGAUGUUGGAAACUGCAUACGGGUUUUGGCAUGGAUUUUGCAGAAUAAGCUAAAAUGUGUGUUUAAGUUGGGUGAAUGAUUCCAGAACUGAAUAUGUAUGCUUAAUUGGCUGAGUAAGAGCUUGGUUUGAAGUUGAAAUGAAAAAAUUAGAGGUUGGAAGUCAGUAGCAGUUUUAUGCAGAAAUCUGUCACGAGUUUGCAUAUGUGAGCAGCACCAUCGGAUGGUUCUAAGCGGGCGAGAUGGCUGGUUAUUGCUAGCAAUUUCAGAUAAACAAGUUGAUGGAGAUAUCAUGGUCUACAAGCAUGGAGUUCAGAUACUUGGAUUAUGCUAGUUGAGCUGACGUCAUGUUAUCUUAUAUUUUGUAUAAGAUUUAGUUUCUUUAUGUUUUCAGUUGUUAGCUCAAUUUAGUAUUAAUCUCUUGGAUUUUGGUAAUCCUAUUUGUGUAUUCGGCCGAUAUGCAAUGAAAAUUUAAUGUUUCCCGAUUCAGUUA